GACGAACGCUGGCGGCGUGCCUAAUACAUGCAAGUCGAACGCAGUGGGGACGGGUGAGUAACACGUGGGUAACCUCCCAUCAGAGGGGAUAACACUUGGAAACAGGUGCUAAACCGAUACUGAUGGAUGGACCUGCGGUGCAUUAGCUAGUUGGUGGGGUAACGGCUCACCUAGGCCACGAUGCAUAGCCGGCCUGAGAGGAUGAUCGGCCACACUGGGGCUGAGACACGGCCCAGACUCCUACGGGAGGCAGCAGUAGGGAAUCUUCGGCAAUGGACGAAAGUCUGACCGAGCAACGCCGCGUGAGUGAAGAAGGUUUUCGGAUCGUAAAGCUCUUUUGUUGGAGAAGCGGUAUCUAACCAGAAAGCCACGGCUAACUCCGUGCCAGCAGCCGCGGUAAUUC
rnacentral:rRNA from 1 species